rnacentral:rRNA from 1 species
GACGAACGCUGGCGGCGUGCCUAAUACAUGCAAGUAGAACGCAGUUGCGAACGGGUGAGUAACGCGUAGGUAACUGCCUCAUAGCGGGGGAUAACUAUUGGAAACGAUAGCUAAUACCGCAUACUGUGAGAUGGACCUGCGUUGUAUUAGCUAGUUGGUGAGGUAAAGGACAGCCAAGGCGACGAUACAUAGCCGACCUGAGAGGGUGACCGGCCAAGUGUGGAAUGUAACGCGGCCCAGACUCUUAACGCAGGCAGCAGUAAUGAAACUUCGGCAAUGGACGGAAGUCUGACCGAGAGACACCGCGAGAGUGAAGAAGGUUUUAGGAGCGUAAAGCUCUGGUGUUAGAGAAGCGGUAACGAACCAGAAAGGGACGGCUAACUACGUGCCAACAGCCGCGAUAAUAC